CACAUGCAAGUCGAGGGGCAGCAUGAACUUAGCUUGCUAAGUUUGAUGGCGACCGGCGCACGGGUGAGUAACGCGUAUGCAACUUACCUAUCAGAGGAGAAUAGCUCAUCGAAAGAUGAAUUAAUGCUCCAUAAAACAGGGGUCCCGCAUGGGAAUAUUUGUUAAAGAUUCAUCGCUGAUAGAUAGGCAUGCGUUCCAUUAGGCAGUUGGCGGGGUAACGGCCCACCAAACCGACGAUGGAUAGGGGUUCUGAGAGGAAGGUCCCCCACAUUGGUACUGAGACACGGACCAAACUCCUACGGGAGGCAGCAGUGAGGAAUAUUGGUCAAUGGCCGAGAGGCUGAACCAGCCAAGUCGCGUGAAGGAAGAAGGAUCUAUGGUUUGUAAACUUCUUUUAUACGGGAAUAAAGUGAGUCACGUGUGGCUUUUUGUAUGUACCGUAUGAAUAAGCAUCGGCUAACUCCGUGCCAGCAGCCGCGGUAAUACGGAGGAUGCGAGCGUUAUCCGGAUUUAUUGGGUUUAAAGGGUGCGUAGGUGGUCUUUUAAGUCAGCGGUGAAAGUUUGUGGCUCAACCAUAAAAUUGCCAUUGAAACUGGGAGACUUGAGUAUGUUUGAGGUAGGCGGAAUGCGUGGUGUAGCGGUGAAAUGCAUAGAUAUCACGCAGAACUCCGAUUGCGAAGGC
rnacentral:rRNA from 1 species